GAUAAGGAGCUUGCUCCUUUGACGUUAGCGGCGGACGGGUGAGUAACACGUGGAUAACCUACCUAUAAGACUGGGAUAACUUCGGGAAACCGGAGCUAAUACCGGAUAACAUAUUGAACCGCAUGGUUCAAUAGUGAAAGGCGGCUUUGCUGUCACUUAUAGAUGGAUCCGCGCCGUAUUAGCUAGUUGGUAAGGUAACGGCUUACCAAGGCAACGAUACGUAGCCGACCUGAGAGGGUGAUCGGCCACACUGGAACUGAGACACGGUCCAGACUCCUACGGGAGGCAGCAGUAGGGAAUCUUCCGCAAUGGGCGAAAGCCUGACGGAGCAACGCCGCGUGAGUGAUGAAGGUCUUCGGAUCGUAAAACUCUGUUAUCAGGGAAGAACAAAUGUGUAAGUAACUGUGCACAUCUUGACGGUACCUGAUCAGAAAGCCACGGCUAAACUACGUGCCAGCAGCCCGCGGUAAUACGUAGGUGGCAAGCGUUAUCCGGAAUUAUUGGGCGUAAAGCGCGCGUAGGCGGUUUUUUUAAGUCUGAUGUGAAAGCCCACGGCUCAACCGUGGAGGGUCAUUGGAAACUGGAAAACUUGAGUGCAGAAGAGGAAAGUGGAAUUCCAUGUGUAGCGGUGAAAUGCGCAGAGAUAUGGAGGAACACCAGUGGCGAAGGCGACUUUCUGGUCUGUAACUGACGCUGAUGUGCGAAAGCGUGGGGAUCAAACAGGAUUAGAUACCCUGGUAGUCCACGCCGUAAACGAUGAGUGCUAAGUGUUAGGGGGUUUCCGCCCCUUAGUGCUGCAGCUAACGCAUUAAGCACUCCGCCUGGGGAGUACGACCGCAAGGUUGAAACUCAAAGGAAUUGACGGGGACCCGCACAAGCGGUGGAGCAUGUGGUUUAAUUCGAAGCAACGCGAAGAACCUUACCAAAUCUUGACAUCCUUUGACCACUCUAGAGAUAGAGUUUUCCCCUUCGGGGGACAAAGUGACAGGUGGUGCAUGGUUGUCGUCAGCUCGUGUCGUGAGAUGUUGGGUUAAGUCCCGCAACGAGCGCAACCCUUAAGCUUAGUUGCCAUCAUUAAGUUGGGCACUCUAAGUUGACUGCCGGUGACAAACCGGAGGAAGGUGGGGAUGACGUCAAAUCAUCAUGCCCCUUAUGAUUUGGGCUACACACGUGCUACAAUGGACAAUACAAAGGGCAGCUAAACCGCGAGGUCAAGCAAAUCCCAUAAAGUUGUUCUCAGUUCGGAUUGUAGUCUGCAACUCGACUACAUGAAGCUGGAAUCGCUAGUAAUCGUAGAUCAGCAUGCUACGGUGAAUACGUUCCCGGGUCUUGUACACACCGCCCGUCACACCACGAGAGUUUGUAACACCCGAAGCCGGUGGAGUAACCAUUUAU
rnacentral:rRNA from 1 species